rnacentral:pre_miRNA from 4 species
UCUUAUGGAUGAGCAAAGACAGUUUCUUUAGAUAGAAUCUACUCCUAGUGAAGAUGCUGUGAA